rnacentral:rRNA from 1 species
UGAGCUCAAAUUUAAAAUCUGGCGGCUUUGUCGUCCGAGUUGUAAUCUGGAGAAGCGUUUUCCGCGUCGGACCGUGUACAAGUCUCUUGGAACAGAGCGUCAUAGAGGGUGAGAAUCCCGUCCAUGACACGGACCGCCGAUGCUUUGUGAUACGCUCUCGAAGAGUCGAGUUGUUUGGGAAUGCAGCUCAAAAUGGGUGGUAAAUUCCAUCUAAAGCUAAAUAUUGGCGAGAGACCGAUAGCGAA